UACGUAGGUGGCAAGCGUUAUCCGGAUUUACUGGGUGUAAAGGGCGUGUAGGCGGGAGAGCAAGUCAGACGUGAAAUUCCAGGGCUCAACCCUGGAACUGCGUUUGAAACUGUUCUUCUUGAGUGAUGGAGAGGCAGGCGGAAUUCCGUGUGUAGCGGUGAAAUGCGUAGAUAUACGGAGGAACACCAGUGGCGAAGGCGGCCUACUGGACAUUAACUAACGCUGAGGCGCGAAAGCGUGGGGAGCAAACAGG
rnacentral:rRNA from 1 species